GUAAUGGGAAGAAAAAUAUCAAGUAAAAGACAAAGAGGAAUUGUAAGCAGUUUGUUUUUCCAAAUGCUAUUUUGCUCACAAGAAAACUGCCAAACUGCUGAAAGGUAACUCUGCAACUGUCCCUGGGGUCUCAGCCAUGUGGCAGCAAGCUGUAUCCAUUGUGUUCGUGUGGAGGGGUGUCCCUUCUCUUUGGAUCCAUGGCUUUAGGAGACUGCUCCUCUUCCUUGCUCUCUGACCCCCACACCCUCUCCCAUUUGAUUGGAGAAUGACCAGGAUGACCUGAGCUCCUACUGCACAGCACAGAGUCAGCUGAGUGAUUCAAGAGAUGCCUCGAUCUGAAAAUAAUAUCUGGACUCUCUAUCUGCCUAAUGGAGACAGACUGCAGAGGUGACAUGCUUGUUCGUGGAGGUGAAGAUGCUACCAAAGGAGAUGUCUUUUCACUUCAGAUGAUGACAAGUGGCUUUGAAUGAGAAGUGGAAGGUGUUUGGGCAGGAGAGGGAGUGAAACCCUGGGAAGUAGAGAAAGUAUCAUGGGCAGCAGGGGCAACUCUAUGUUUUUUGCCGCCUCAAGCACGGCAGUCAGGCGGCCUUCAGUGGCAUGCCUGCGGACAGUCACGCGAAUUCGGCGGCGUUUCUGCGGGUGAUC